GAUGAACGCUAGCGGCGUGCCUAACACAUGCAAGUCGAACGGACCUUGAGUUGUGAAACUUCGGUUGAUCAACUCGCUGGUUAGUGGCGAACGGGUGAGUAAUAGAUAGGUAACCUGCCCUUAAGUCUGGGAUAACUUUUCGAAAGGAAAGCUAAUACCGGAUAUUUCUUUACAUCAUAAGAUGUUUAGAGGAAAGAUCCGUCGCUUAAGGAGGGGCUUAUCUCUGAUUAGCUUGUUGGUAGGGUAAUGGCCUACCAAGGCAACGAUCAGUAGCUGGUCUGAGAGGAUGAUCAGCCACACUGGAACUGAGACACGGUCCAG
rnacentral:rRNA from 1 species